rnacentral:lncRNA from 1 species
CCUCUGGCUCCUCCACCUCCUCCUUAGCCUCUGCAGCUGUCGUGGCCUCGGCUUCGGGCUCCGCCGGGGCCUCGGUGAUGAUGGCAGGGGCGUUAGUUGUGGCCGCCUCCUGCUUGGCAGCUUCAGUGGUAGGGGCAGGGGCUUCGGUCUCCACGGGAGCGACGUCCGUGGCAGCAGCCUCAGUAGCGGCGGUUUCUUCUCCGGCAGGGGUGUCCGUUACGACAUCCUCGGCGGCAGGGGUGUCCGUUACGACAUCCUCGGCGGCAGGGGUGUCCGUUACGACAUCCUCGGCCGCAGCCUCGGGUUCAGCCGAAGGGGCAUGGGUGACUACGGGAUCUUCCUCUUUGAGGGCCUCAGUGGCCUCGGGAACAGCAGGGGAAUCUGUCACCAGCUCUACUGGUGUCACCAGUGUGCCUGACGAGAGGCAAAGAGAGGUCAGAGACUGGUAGAGGCAAAUGAACAAUAUUGACACACACUGAAGAGAGAGACUACAUUUGUUGAUGACAUACUGUACAUGAUCAUUUAUUUUGGAAUGGGAUGUUAAUAUCCUAAACAACAGCUCGUGGAGUCCUAUUCACCAUUUGGUUUCUCUGUUAUUUCACAAUAGUUUUCAAAUGUAGUAGCUGGAAAGAGAGAAUGACGGUUGGAAAGUCCCUCAUUGCAAGGGCAUGGUGAAAUAAUUUGAGAGAAAAACUACGUGAAUAUUAACAUUCUUCCUUGACAUUAUGUUCCCAGUAAUUUUCUCUCCCAGCCUAAGGCUUGACUCAUCAGUAGCAGUGAGAACAUGGCUGCCACAUCCCAUGACUGAACAAACAUUGGUCCUCCCUUCCUCCUCCCCAGUCCCACCCACCCCUCUCCAUUCUGUCUUGGGUCGUGUUUGCACACUCGCAUGCCCCACCCUCUGCCUCAUUUGCUGUUCAUGGAGUCUCCACCUUAACCGACCCUGGAUGGGGACGGCAGGAAGUCAGCAGAUGAGGGCAUACCAUUAAAACACCAAGAGGGGUAAGAAACAAUGGACAAUUCAGUAUAAAACAACACAAUUACAGUAGGUGCUUAACAGUUGUUGCGCAUUACUUGAGAAAACGGGAUCCAAAUUACUCGGAUAUGUUGGAAUUAGUUGUUUGUGAUGUUUCCAGAGAGACCAAAGAUCUGCACGAUCUCAACCUAAAUAAAAUCCUCUCAUCUGGCCAUUUUUGGAUGGCAAUAACAGUUGGAAAGGAAGCUCUUUGAGCUGAGCUCAGUGGAAUGUCAAUGCUUGUAUUGAAAUGUACUAUAAUCUAUCCUAUAAUUGUAUGAACCCACUUGUAAUAAGAAUAGCCUCUUUGUUCAAAGGGUUGGACCGCAAAGUAGAAGCUGAGUGAGACCUUACUGUAGCACUCUACAAAUCAAGUCCUAUCUGUGCCUGUUCCCUUCCAGACCACAACUUUGCUUGGACAGCGCAGCUUCGAAAUUAUUAAGUAGAAGUCAAUUUUAGUGGAGGACUGAAAUUAUGGUAAACUUGCAAAAUGUUCUGCUGCAGUCUCUCCUUUUUCCUGAGAGUACUCUUUGCCCUUUCAAAUCUGCAAUAUGAAACUUCUCUGAAGUCCGAUCUGUCUAAGCUUAGAACCUGACAUCAUUUCUUUGCCAUUUUCCAGUGAUUCUUCAAAACCCUUUACAAUAGAGAAUAGCUUUACGAGGUUAAAAAUAACUGACUCUCUCUCAUUGUUCCACAACUGCCCCAUUAUUCUUAGUCACCUAUUUGCUCAAAUUCUCAUUAGCAACAAGCAAGUUUAAAUAUAACAACAUUUUUGUUCUCCAAUGACUUUGCUGUUUGUUUGGAAAGUCUGAUGAUAAAGUGCCAUUAUGUCCGCUGCUCAUAAUAAGCUCUGAGUACUAUUUCCUUCCAACUGUGCUGGCUAAUACAGCUGUGCUAGUGAGUAAGAGAACAGGAUUGUUGCCCUGUCGCCUCCUCUCUCCCUCCCUCCUUACCACUAUGCUUCUCUCUCUCUCUCGCUCUCUCUUCUCCCCAUCUUCUCCCUGCCCUGCCUCCACCCCAUGAAUGAAGUUGCUCCUGAUAACGAUUUUGGGAAUGCUGUAACGUUAGCUCUGCAAGAGGAGAGCGCGGCGAGUUGGAGAGGGAGCGAGAGCGGUGUAAAAGGCUUGAGUGAAGCCGGAACGAUAUAGAGCCCAGCGGCAGCCACUUUCAUUUAUUCACUCUCUCACUCAUCCUGUUCCAUGAACAGGGGCCUAGUUCCACAGUCUGUCUCUGGUUUAAUGUCCCAUUAUAGCCUGACCUCAGAGCAGAUGUGUUGUGUGACAGAGGAGGCUGGUGGGAGGAGCUAUAGGAGGACGGGAUCAUUGUAAUGGCUGGAAUGGAAUUAAUGGAACGG